UGGAAAUGAUGAAAUAGAGAUAAUUGGGUGUCAAAUGUUGUAUGAUUGGAAAUUUUUAAGAUGUAAGUUAAGUAAUCUAGUUUUAAUAUUUUAUAGAUACUUAAUAGAGUGUGUGUGUGUGCAUGCAUGUGCGUAUUUGUGGAGGCUAUGAAAAGGGGGCACUGACUGGUGAUGCUGAUAUUGGAGUGCAUCUGAGGCUGUUGUAGAAAUACAUGGGUUGUUGAUUACAACAUUGCCAAUGAUUAUAACCCAAGAACAGCUCACCAAAGUAGCCUGGCACCCUAAAAUCUCUAUACUAGGUUCAUUAAAUGUGGUCCUGUGAUCUGAUCCAA
ensembl:snoRNA SCARNA7 small Cajal body-specific RNA 7